GUCACUUUGGCUUAGUGGCAGAGGUUUUGCUUUGUAAGCAGAAGGUCGUCAGUUCAAUCCUGGCAAGUGGCU
rnacentral:tRNA from 1 species